rnacentral:tRNA from 1 species
UUGGAUCACCUCCUUAACAGGGAGACAAACAACGAUUUUGAUGUCUGAGUUAUUUAUUCUUAGGCCAAAAUCCUGUCACCUUAGGUCGAUCGGUACCUCAACUUUUAGCUAAGAGAGUUCCAGCAAUGGUUGUCUGCUUAGUGGAGAUUUUUAGUUCCUAAACUUUGUCUAGUUCACAACCCAUUAGGGAUGAGACUCCUGGGCCAUUAGCUCAGGUGGUUAGAGCGCACCCCUGAUAAGGGUGAGGUCCCCGGUUCAAGUCCAGGAUGGCCCAUUCGGUGUAGGGGGUUUAGCUCAGUUGGUAGAGCGCCUGCUUUGCAAGCAGGAUGUCAGGAGUUCGAGUCUCCUAACCUCCACUGACUACCAAAAUCCCAUCUCCAAAACCUGGAGUAUGAACUCGUAUGGAUUGUGAUUUAGAUUUGUCCGCUAUAUGACCCUAGCUUCUUGUCAUUUUAAUGCAUGGAAAUAAUUCCAUGAUUUGAUUGAUAGGAUGCUGGGCUCGAUGCAAUGGAUUGAGAGAUCAAUGCAUUGUUUUGAUGUCUAGCCGAACCUUGACAACUGCAUAGUUUAAGUCUGGAAAGAAUAAAGCAUCUUUAUGGAUGCAUCAUUUUUUCGUGUUAACGCAUGAAAGAGUGAUGUUAAUUCUAAAGCAAGAGCCGAGACUCCAGUAUGUUCUUUCAAAUGUGUCGAGCAUUUGAGAGUUUGAUUUUAAUUUCUUUUUUUAGAAAUUAGAAGAAUCUGUUUCAACAACAGCAAGCGUGCUGGAGAUACAUUGGUCAAGCUACAAAGGGCUCACGGCGGAUACCUUGGCACACAGAGGCGAUGAAGGA